rnacentral:rRNA from 1 species
AUUGAACGCUGGCGGCAGGCUUAACACAUGCAAGUCGAACGAGUGGCGGACGGGUGAGUCAUGCUUGGGAAUCUAGCUAAUGGAGGGGGAUAACUACGGGGAACUGUAGCUAAUACCGCGUACCAUAGGAUGAGCCCAAGUGGGAUGAGGUAGUUGGUGAGGUAAAGGCUCACCAAGCCGACGCUCCCUAGAUGGUCUGCGAGGAUGACCAGCCACAGUGGAACUGAGAAACGGCCCAGACUCCGACGGGAGGCAGCAGUGGGGAAUAUUGCGCAAUGGGGGCAACCUGACGAAGCCAUGCCGCGUGAAUGAAGAAGGCCUUCGGGUUGUAAAGUUCUUUCGGUAGCGAGGCGUUAACUACAGAAGAAGCAACGGCUAACUCCGUGCCAGCAGCCGCGGUAAUAC